GCCUCGGUAGCUCAGUCGGUAGAGCAGUUGACUCUUAAUCAAUUGGUCCCAGGUUCGAAUCCUGGCCGGGGCA
rnacentral:tRNA from 1 species